AAGGUUAAAACUCAAUAUGAAUUGAACGGGGGCCCGCACAAGCGGUGGAAGCACGUGGUUUAAUUCGAUGCAACGCGAAGAACCUUACCUACUCUUGACAUCCACGGAAUUCGGCAGAGAUGCCUUAGUGCCUUCGGGAACCGUGAGACAGGUGCUGCAUGGCUGUCGUCAGCUCGUGUUGUGAAAUGUUGGGUUAAGUCCCGCAACGAGCGCAACCCUUAUCCUUUGUUGCCAGCGAUUCGGUCGGGAACUCAAAGGAGACUGCCGGUGAUAAACCGGAGGAAGGUGGGGAUGACGUCAAGUCAUCAUGGCCCUUACGAGUAGGGCUACACACGUGCUACAAUGGCGCAUACAAAGAGAAGCGACCUCGCGAGAGCAAGCGGACCUCACAAAGUGCGUCGUAGUCCGGAUCGGAGUCUGCAACUCGACUCCGUGAAGUCGGAAUCGCUAGUAAUCGUGGAUCAGAAUGCCACGGUGAAUACGUUCCCGGGCCUUGUACACACCGCCC
rnacentral:rRNA from 1 species